rnacentral:rRNA from 2 species
AGGUGGGAUCAUACCAUCACUAAUGCACCGGAUCUGAUCAGAACUCCCCAGUUAAGCGUGAUUGGGUGAUAGUAGUACUAGGAUGGGUGACCUCCUGGGAAUUCCUCAUGUUGGACCUC